UGAGAAAGCCCAGGAGAGCCCACUGGUGA
rnacentral:misc_RNA from 1 species